CCAGACUCCUACGGGAGGCAGCAGUGGGGGAUAUUGCACAAUGGGGGAAACCCUGAUGCAGCGACGCCGCGUGAGUGAAGAAGUAUUUCGGUAUGUAAAGCUCUAUCAGCAGGGAAGAAAAUGACAGUACCUGACCAAGAAGCCCCGGCUAACUACGUGCCAGCAGCCGCGGUAAUACGUAGGGGGCAAGCGUUAUCCGGAUUUAUUGGGUUUAAAGGGUGCGCAGGCGGUCUGUUAAGUCAGCGGUCAAAGCCCGGGGCCCACCCCCGGCCCGCCGUUGAAACUGGCAGUCUCGAGUUGGAGAGAAGUAUGCGGAAUGCGCGGUGUAGCGGUGAAAUGCAUAGAUAUCGCGCAGAACUCCGAUUGCGAAGGCAGCAUGCCGGCUCCACACUGACGCUGAGGCACGAAAGCGUGGGUAUCGAACAGGAUUAGAUACCCCCGUACC
rnacentral:rRNA from 1 species